rnacentral:rRNA from 1 species
ACUCCUACGGGAGGCAGCAGUGGGGAAUAUUGCACAAUGGGCGCAAGCCUGAUGCAGCAACGCCGCGUGAGUGAUGAAGGCCUUCGGUCGUAAAGCUCUGUCCUCAAGGAAGAAUAAAUGACGGUACUUGUAGGAGGAAGCCCCGGCUAACUACGUGCCAGCAGCCGCGGUAAUACGUAGGGGGCAAGCGUUAUCCGGGAAUCACUGGGGCGUAAAGGGGUGCGUAGGCGGUUUUCAAGUCAGAAGUGAAAGGCUAUGGCUCAACCAUAGUAAGCUUUUGGAAACUGUUAAACUUGAGUGCAGGAGAGGAAAGUGGAAUUCCUAGUGUAGAGGUGGAAAUUCGUAGAUAUUAGGAGGAACACCAGUGGCGAAGGCGACUUUCUGGACUGUAACUGACGCUGAGGCACGAAAGCGUGGGGAGCGAACAGGAUUAGAUACCCUGGUAGCACAGAG